UACGAAGGGGGCUAGCGUUGCUCGGAAUCACUGGGCGUAAAGCGCACGUAGGCGGCUUUUUAAGUCAGGGGUGAAAUCCUGGAGCUCAACUCCAGAACUGCCUUUAAUACUGAGAAGCUUGAGUCCGGGAGAGGUGAGUGGAACUGCGAGUGUAGAGGUGAAAUUCGUAGAUAUUCGCAAGAACACCAGUGGCGAAGGCGGCUGACUGGUCCGGAUCUGACGCUGAGGCGCGAAAGCGUGGGGAGCAAACAGG
rnacentral:rRNA from 1 species